rnacentral:lncRNA from 1 species
UGGAACUGAAGAUUUUUUAUGGAACUCAGGACGGUUAACACCUUCUGACGUUUGUUGAUUGAAACUAAAGCUACCCGAUAUAGACUUUUUAUUCUCCCCCUCUCCCUUUCUUUAGUCUUCUACUCGUUAAUCAAGUGAACAUGAACCAUCAACUUGGAAAAGUCUCUCUCCUUAAUUAGCAUUGUGGUCCUAUACUUCCUGACUACACUAUCAGACACACCAAACAUAUACUUGGUCAUCAUAGACCUUCUAUCAGCUACCAUAUGAGGAGGAUACCUAGCUAACUGAGUAACCUUGAGGGAAUACUCCUUCAUACUCAUGUUGCCUUUCCUCAAGUUAAUAAACUAUAACACCUUGUCUUCCCUUAGAUCUAAUAGAAAGAAUCUAUCUAAGGUUAUAGCAAACUUUUCCUAUUCUAUAGGCCCUGUAUCUGCGCCUCUAGCAACCUUCCUCUAC